rnacentral:rRNA from 1 species
GAUGAACGCUGGCGGCGUGCCUAAUACAUGCAAGUCGAACGAACGGAGAAAAGUGUUUGUUUCUUUACAGUGAGGGGCGAAGGGGGUAGAACACGGGGAAAAACCCUCUACAAGGCUGGGAAUAACUUGAGAAAACCGAUGUUAACACCGAAUAUAAUUUAAACUCCAAUGUUACAAAGUUAAAAAUCGUCUCGGAGUCACCUAGAGAUGGAUCCGCGGUGCAUUAGUUAGUUGGUGGGGUAAAGGCCUACCAAGACAAUGAUGCAUAGCCGAGUUGAGAGGAUGAUCGGCCACAUGGGAACGGAGCUACGCCCCAACCUCCUGAGGGAGGCACCACUAGGGCACCUUCCGCAAUGGGCGAAAGCCUAAAGGAGCAACGCGACGUGAGUGAGGAAGGGUUUCGGCUCGUAAAGCACUGUUGUUUGGGAAGAACAAAUCUGUUAGUAAAUGUACGAAAAUUGACGGUACCUGACCAGAAAGCUACGGCUAACUACGUG